rnacentral:lncRNA from 1 species
CGAAAGAGUGCAACUUUCAUUUCAAAGAAUACAAUUUUUAUCUCAAAGAGUGCAAUCUUAAACAGUACAAUUAUCUUAUAAAACAGUGCAACAUUAUUUUAACAAUACAACCAUCAUCUUUUUCUUCCUUUUUCUCUGAUUCUUGGCCUUUCCUUUAACAAUGAUGAUAUAUAAUAGUUUUUCAAUGCGAAAUUUUUUUCGUUACUUUUUUUUUAACUUUUUAUUCUUUUUUUCCCUAUCCUUUGUACUAUUUUUCGCUU